AUCAGGAACUGGGUUUCUUCCCAGAGCACAACUCCGCCGCCCAGUCGUCAGCACACAGCGGGACUCCCGGUCUCUGGGGCGGAGCAAAGAUAACUUCUCAGCUGCCCUGCUGCCUGACCCUGACCUCGGUCAAUGGGCCUCUGCAUGCUGCUCGGAUGGAUGCAGAGGUCCAACUCUGGAGCUCCACCAACUUUAGCCUGGAAAUUGGGUCAAGAGACACUGCCAAGGGUCACUAGAGCUUCACUAAAAGGGACCCUGUGCUACAGAGUUGCAGCAUGGAUCCACUGCACAUCCAUUUGCAGUUGAAGACAACCCUGGCCAGCAGGAGGAAAAUUCAGCCUCAAGACUCUCUGCUGUCUCUCCCACUGAAUUACCACCCUGUGGAGAGUCGCAUCAUGCCGCGCCCUUAAGAUGACGCCGGUCUCUGCCUUCCGCCAUCCCAAUGGCGAGUGCUCUCAGGAGUAAACAAGUCCUUAUUUGGCUGUGGCUGGUGAUCUGGCUUGCUUCCGUGUUUGUGGACCUAUCUGCUGUUGCCACGUGGCUCGCUGGGGUAGGCUAGCCCUUGACUACUUAAGCCUGGGAGACCCUUCCCCCGGGGUCAGUCAGAAG